UACGUAGGGGGCAAGCGUUGUCCGGAUUUAUUGGGCGUAAAGGAGCGUGUAGGCGGCUUUACAGGUCCGUUGUGAAAACUCGAGGCUCAACCUCGAGACGCCGGUGGAAACCGUAAAGCUAGAGUCCGGAAGAGGAGAGUGGAAUUCCUGGUGUGAGACGGUGAAAUGCGCAGAUAUCAGGAGGAACACCCGUGGCGAAAGCGGCUCUCUGGGACGGUACUGACGCUGAGACGCGAAAGCGUGGGGAGCAAACAGG
rnacentral:rRNA from 1 species